rnacentral:rRNA from 1 species
UACGUAGGGGGCAAGCGUUGUCCGGAAUCAUUGGGCGUAAAGCGCGUGUAGGCGGUUCAGUAAGUCUGCUGUGAAAGUCCAGGGCUCAACCCUGGGAUGCCGGUGGAUACUGCUGGACUAGAGUGCGGAAGAGGCGAGUGGAAUUCCCGGUGUAGCGGUGAAAUGCGCAGAUAUCGGGAGGAACACCAGUGGCGAAGGCGGCUCUCUGGACAGGUACUGACGCUGAGACGCGAAAGCGUGGGUAGCAAACAGG